CAGAAAGGAAGUCAAGGAGAUUCAAUGUGCAGUUCUGAGAAGGGAUUCAGUGUGCCGUUGCUGGCUCUGAGAAGUAGGAGCCUUGUGCAAGGAUUCAGGAGAGGCCUCUAGAAACUGAGGAUGGCCCUCAACUGGCAAGCACAGGCAACUGAAUUCGGCCAGGCAUCUGGGUCCUGUGCUAGGGGCUAGGAAGACAAAGAGAAACAGAGUCACAUCCUCCCACAAAAAUCCAUGAGAUGUCGGAGAGCCGAACUUGUAAACAGCCAUCAUCAACACAAAGAAGGAUGCACUGAUGCUCUCUAGAGGCUCACAGGAAAUGAUUCAUGGGCAUAGAGGUGUGCAAUUUGCUUCCUGCCCCAGCCCUGACCCUGAGAUGCAGCAUGGAGGGAGUAGAGGGGUGGGGUUUGCGAAGUCACUUCCAGUCAUCGUGGGACCUUUAUGGAAACCUGGGCUCCACUCCACAGGAUGAGUCUCAACUGGAACCCUUGCCCAUUGGGCUCACUGUUCCAAUCUAAAGGGCAGGCUUUCCACUACUCUUUGGGACUUGUAGUUUGUGGGUUUUUUUCACAUGCACAUCAUCUUACUUACAGUUCCCCAAGAAUAAAAGCUUUCCAUCUCAAUUCUGGGCACUCUAAGUUUACCUGUAUUUCCUUUUCACUUUAAACAAAGGUAGUCAUAGGAGCCCGUCAUUUCCCAUGACUCAGGGAAUUGAGUUCAUGUUGCUUGCCUUGUGAGUGCUUACAGCCUGUAUGUCAUAGCAUUUAGAAAUGUCACUGAACCUAGGUUCGGCUGCUCGCUCCUUGAGAGCCAAACUGGAGACACAAGAGUUGGUCGGAGGAGAAGUAGGUUUAUGAGGAGCUGGCAACCUGAGGAGAUGGUGGGCUAGUGUCACAAAGACCAUCUCGAAUUUCUCAGGCUGGCCAGGGGUGUUAUGCGAGGGGGAGUCUGGGGGAAUUAUGUACAAGAGCUGAAUACAUGCUGGUCAGUCUGUCUAGUCUCAAUGACUGUCUUGAAUAAUGGGCCACCUGGUGGUCUGGCUGGCAUUAGCUUGAUUGCAACAGGAAUACAGAUGAACGGCUCAGCCUUCUUUCCAGAGUGGGAUGUUCUGCAACCUGGAUUCCAUGCUUAGCGUUUCAGGUCAGUCCCUGCAGUUCUUUAAGCAAAGCACGUGAGUUAAGCAUCAUCAAAAACCUAGCAUAGAAAGAAGGGGGAUAAAAGGAAAAAAAAGGAAAAUAAUUGUUUUUCCAGAUAAGGUGGUAGUUUCUGUUACAGAAAGAGCCCAAAGUUUAUAGAUAGAAUCCAAAUGUCUCAUGUUAUAGGCGAGGAAACUGGUUCUGAGAAGUCAAACUUGAAAACAGCAGAACAAAAACUAGAACCGUUUUUCCCAACUUACCUUCAGGCGCUCUCUUCACAUCACAAAAUGUCUGGAAACAUCGACAUCUCCUUUCCCUGCGUCCUUUCUGGACAUGGUUUGAUGGCUCCUAACAGUGCCAGGCACACAGCCAGUGUUCACUUCCUUCUUGUGUAAACAAUCAGACUCAGCCUCUCUCUGAACAACCACUUAAUCCGAAGAAAGGAAGCCAACGUGCCCACAGGUCAUUUUCUUAGCUGACUGAAGACUGGAGGAUGGAUCCCAGAGCAGCAAAGACGUAUUCAAUGUAGACCUAAGAGAAAGAGGAAAAGGGAUGUCAUGGCUCAUUGUGCCUGAGAGACUCCAUGUCCUCCCAUGUGACCAGGGUUCCACUUUUCCAGAUAGCACCUUGCUGAAAGAUUUCUCCAGUGCCAGGAAAACUGUGCACUGCUCAAGUUUUCCCACCUUAACAAAAAGGUCAUCUCAUAAAGAAUCUAUUUGGUCACUAAGGGCCACACAGCAGGUUAUUUCCUAAUAUUCAUUGUCCCUUUCUUCUAUAGAAAUAGAAUCUUUAGACCGGGCGCAGUGGCUCAUGCCUGUAAUCCCAGCACUUUGGGAGGCAGAGGCAGGCGGAUCACCUGAGGUCAGGAGUUCGAGACAAGCCUGGCAAACAUGGCGAAAUCCCGUCUCUACUAAAAAUACAAAAGUUUGCUGGGCAUGUUGCACCUGUAAUCUCAGCUACUCAGCAGGCUGAGGCAGGAGAAUUGCUGAACCUGGGAGGCAGA
rnacentral:lncRNA from 1 species